rnacentral:misc_RNA from 1 species
GAAAUGCGAUAAGUAGUGUGAAUUGCAGAAUUCAGUGAAUCAUCGAAUCUUUGAACGCACAUUGCGCCCCUUGGUAUUCCAUGGGGCAUGCCUGUUCGAGCGUCAUUUGUACCCUCAAGCUCUGCUUGGUGUUGGGUGUUUGUCCCCGUCUCCGCGCGUGGACUCGCCCCAAAGUGAUUGGCAGCCGGCGUACUGGUCCCGGAGCGCAGCACAUGUCGCGCAAACGAGUGCCUUGGUACGGCGGCGUCCAUAAGCCCCUCUCUCACGCUCUUGACCUCGGAUCAGGUAGGGAUACCCGCUGAACAUAAGC